UAAAUUCGCGUUUUAUAUUGGUAACCCCGGAUUCAACCUCCAUCCGCGGGGACCGAAGGAGUCUUGCGGGGUUUCAGCAGCGCCGUCGCGGUAAGAUUUCAAACAUUCUCCGUCGCUAUAGCACCUGAGGACAGAAGUUGUUCAUGUUAUUUAGAGUUUUUGUUCACACCAGGAGUGAAGGCGUAUGUGACGAGCUACAGUUCAUUGUAUUAGUAAGUUGACGGUUGUUUUUUUAAUGUUGAACAUCGCGCCCGCCGUAGACUCGGUAAAAGUUACUUGCUUCGACAGUUGGGAUACCACACUCGCUCGUGAUUAUUUUGUGGUGUAAUUCAAAUUUGCAAAUGCAGUCAUCCGUUAAAUCGAGCGCCCAAAUUAAAAUGAGUCACCAUAGCUUGAGGUAAGUCGAUGUUCACGGAGGAUAGCCCGGUAAAGUGAUUAAUGUACGUAACCAUCUAGAUAUACAGUUUAUGUAUCGGAGGCCAGCUGAGAGCUUGAGCAAAAGACGUUAGCGACACCCUCAUUGUAUAGCAGGCCUGUCUCCCAAAUAGGACCGUUGGAGGGUGGGAGUGAGACCCGUUACAAAAUACUAGUGUGACAAUUUCUUGACCGUGACAUCCCUAACGUUAGUUGGAUUACAUUUCUGUAUAAGUACGGUUUUAAGUGUAAGUUACUCUGUUUAAUUUGCUUAGAGUUUGUUUGUAGAGUCACUUAUACUAAAAUGUAGUUUAAAUGUAAAAUGCUUAAAGAUAAUUGUAUAGUCACUAUUAACUAUUACUAUUGUCACAUGUAUAAUUGUUUGUUUUAGGACACACUUUGCCAUGCAGGCCACUGGAUGCUGACUACUGAAGGUUAGGUUGUGUGUGACGGUGCUCAGCACAGCUUCAUGUCUGGCCUUCCCACUCUGUUGAUAGCAUGUUACAUAUUCAAUCUUGAGUACCAGGAUGGGGCAGCAUGUACUUGGAGUCCAAUGAAAGAUAUUAAUCCAGAGAGUGGAACAAGAAGCGUCAUCUAAAAUGCCAGGAUACAGAAGAAACAGGUUGCAGUGAACCCACAUGUCGCCGCUCUUCUAAACACAAUGAUGAAUAUUCAGUGUAAUCGAUGAAAAUUCCAGCUACUUGUUGUGCUCUGAUGGAUCAAGAUGUGGACCGUUUUACAGACUCACUUUGGCCUUGUUUUGCAAUGUUGUUUCAUGAUGGUAAUGUUGGUUAACGUGUUGUUUAAACAUGAAUGUUUAAAGAGCCAUGUUGGAUACUAUGAAGUUGUU